UCUGUGCUGCUGUGUUUGACAACGACAAGUUGACAAAUCUUUUUAUUUUCCAUGCUUCUUUUUUCUGCGAUUUUGUGAUAAUUCAUUCGUAUUUUGGGAGCAUUAGCGCGCGAUAGUCACCUUGCAGUUUGUGUUUAAGUGAUUUUCACCUACCGACAUAUAAUUUUUGAGCCGUUAACUGGAAAAUUCCACCAUGACUCUGGGAACUUAUAACAGGCAUCAGGCGCAAAAGAAAAAACAAGCUGCGUUGGCGGCGGCCUUUCCACAAGGGAUCCGUUGCCAGAAAUGCUUGGAAUACGGGCACUGGAGUUACGAGUGUAAGGGCAAGCGCAAGAUAUUGGUGCGUCCUUCGAGCACGCAGGUACUAAAGAAGAACCUGAAAUCUCGGGAACAGGGAUCCUGCAGCAAUGGCAGUUGCAAGAUACCAAACAAAAAGAAACGCACCAAUGACUGCGCCGAUUGCUCAGACAACAGUUCUUCCGGUAGCUCUUCAGGAUCAGACUCCUGUAGCUCGGACGACUCGGGGAGCGACAGCAGCAGUGACUCGGAGAGUGACAGCGAGAGCAGCAGCGGGUCCGAAUCCUGCUCAGAUUGUUAAGGAGAUAGUCAGCGCGCUGUACUUCACAACUGGUACUUAUAAAUUGCAUUCGCUUCUCAUCCGUAAAUGUACAUAAUUCAAUCAAGUCAUAUUCAGAAUAUAGAGAAGUUAUAUGAUGUGUGCUCAUUUGUAAAGCAGGCUUUAGUAUACUUGAUGGAUAAAACCUAUUUGAUUUAAAAUGUUAAUCUUAUUUUUCUAACAAAUUUUGAUAAGAAUAGCAUUCAUUCUUAAUAUUUUGUACUAUUAUUGUUAGAAAAGAGGUUUGUAACAGUACCAGUUGUAAGUUCAUCCCAAGUGACAUUGCAUGUAGGUUUAACCAUCACCAGAAGAUUUCAUAAUGCUGGACAUUAAAAAUAAGGACUUAGUAUAAUAUGUGACACUGUUCUUAAGAUAUUUUUAACUUGCAGACAAUGUUUAUAAUCUAUUUUUUUGUGUAUGUAGUGGCACUUUCUCAUUCAGCCUUUGUGUAAUCAAUAGCAGAUUAUAAACGGAACACUGGUUUUCGUAGAUUCGAUUAAAAGUAAUUUAAAAAAGGAAAUUUGAUGUUAGAAAAGAGCUAAAUGGGUUUGGCGCCAUUCUUCCUAAUUAUUUAAUGCUGUGAACUUGUUGAAUGUUUGUAGUUUAAAAUGAUUCUAUAAGAUGCUAAAAGUAAUUAUAUGUGUGUAUGAACGGAUUGGGAGUUUGUAGAGAUUUAUAUCUUUAAUAUUAUUUAGAUAUGUUAGGCUUUAUUUCCACUGACAUGAUUAAAAAUGAAGUGUGAACAAUUAUUUAAUGAAGCCAAAGUUUGCUGAUGUUAAUAUAAUACUCUAUUUAAACUUAAAAUUGACUAACAGACUUAAGUUAGUGGAAAUUUAGUCAUUUUGUUUGUGCUUUGUGAAACUGCUGUGUUAAUAUAGCAUAGAGUUAAAGUUAAUUAUCAAUUACAUAUUUACAUGUCAUAGACGUAAUAUUUUCUAAGACUGUAUAGUAAAAUGUCUCUUCAAUUUCAUAGUCUCAUGAUUUAAAUAGACAAAAUGUAAGAAUUUUGAUAUAAAACAAAAUAUAAUUUAAAUGGGAUUGCA
rnacentral:misc_RNA from 1 species